GCAUUCUUAGCUCAGUUGGCAGAGCGUCGGUUUUACACGCCGAAUGUCGCAGGUUCGAGUCCUGCAGGACGUA
rnacentral:tRNA from 1 species